GAAGCAUGAUCCCUUACCACAAAAAUUUGACUUCCCAGGGAUACCGAGUGCUCAUAUACAGUGGAGAUCAUGAUAGAAGAGUACCUUUCACUGGGACUCAAGCGUGGACCAGAUCAAUGGGAUACAAGAUCAUUGACGAAUGGAGGCCUCGGAUGACUGAUGAUCAAGUCGCAGGGUAUCUGCAAGGAUAUGACAACAACUUCACAUUCUUAACAAUCAAGGGAGCCGGGCACACGGUCCCUCAAACCAAGCCAUGAGAGGCAUUGGAGUUUUAUAGUCACUGGUUAGAUGGAAAGCCAAUCUAGCGUUAAUGUAUUCCCAGUUCUUAAAUCAAAAUGAUCUCA